CCAGGUCUUGACAUCCCUCUGACCGCUCUAGAGAUAGAGUUUUCUUUCGGGACAGAGGUGACAGGUGGUGCAUGGUUGUCGUCAGCUCGUGUCGUGAGAUGUUGGGUUAAGUCCCGCAACGAGCGCAACCCCUAUUGUUAGUUGCCAUCAUUUAGUUGGGCACUCUAGCGAGACUGCCGGUAAUAAACCGGAGGAAGGUGGGGAUGACGUCAAAUCAUCAUGCCCCUUAUGACCUGGGCUACACACGUGCUACAAUGGCUGGUACAACGAGUCGCAAGCCGGUGACGGCAAGCUAAUCUCUUAAAGCCAGUCUCAGUUCGGAUUGUAGGCUGCAACUCGCCUACAUGAAGUCGGAAUCGCUAGUAAUCGCGGAUCAGCACGCCGCGGUGAAUACGUUCCCGGGCCUUGUACACACCGCCCGUCACACCACGAGAGUUUGUAACACCCGAAGUCGGUGAGGUAACCGUAAGGAGCCAGCCGCCUAAGGUGGGAUAGAUGAUUGGGGUGAAGUCGUAACAAGGUAGCCGUAAAUCGAAUCCCGCGGCCGCC
rnacentral:rRNA from 1 species